AAAAACUUGUCCAGGUACACACGACAUAAAUAAAAUUGCAACCAUGGUACUUGAGGUCUCUGUAUCUUGAGCUCAUCCUUCUAUUCUACCUGGAAGAAAGAUGGGAAAUCGAGGACCUUGCCCUUGGUCUUGCAUCUCAAACAGUUCUUGGUGCUGCAACUAUGGUGAGCCAGACAGGCAAACAUCCAGGGCAACUAAAAGGUCAGGUUACUUCUCCAGCAGAAGGAUUGGAGAGAAAAGCGGGAUGAGUUCAAGAAAAAGGUAAGGCAAUGUGUCCGCAAAUCUCAGGAAAUGCUCUAAAGGAGAAACAUAUGGGGAGUUGAACGAGUGCUGCAACUUCACAACCAGUUACCUAGCCAACAUUCUUUUGCUUUUCCCCUGUAUAUUUUCCAUUCAGUGUCAUUCGUAUGGUGGUGUUGGGUCUCUUUAGACAAACUGGGGACUGUUGCUUAUCCUAAAAAUUCGAUUGUAUUGUGUGGCAUGAAAUGAUUGAUGUCAAAGAAUAUUUUGAACAUGCUGCCACCUAAUUAUACUUUUCAUAUGAACAUCA